GGAUUAGUACGCUGGUCGUGCCUUCGGUACGUACUGGUGUUACUGAUUCCUACCUUCUGACGAACCGUCAUGUCAUUAAUUUGAUGUGGCGGGGAAUCAGGACUGUUACUUUGAAAAAAUUAGAGUGCUUAAAGCAGGCUCGCGCUUGAAUACAUUAGCAUGGAAUAACGAAAUAGGACGAUCGAACCUAUUUUGUUGGUUUCUAGGAUCGACGUA
rnacentral:rRNA from 1 species